UAGAGUUUGAUCCUGGCUCAGGACGAACGCUGGCGGCGUGCUUAACACAUGCAAGUCGAGCGGUAAGGCCCUUUCGGGGGUACACGAGCGGCGAACGGGUGAGUAACACGUGGGUGACCUGCCCUUAGCUCUGGGAUAAGCCUGGGAAACUGGGUCUAAUACCGGAUAUGAUCUCAGGUUGCAUGACUUGGGGUGGAAAGAUUUAUCGGUGCAGGAUGGGCCCGCGGCCUAUCAGCUUGUUGGUGGGGUAAUGGCCUACCAAGGCGACGACGGGUAGCCGACCUGAGAGGGUGACCGGCCACACUGGGA
rnacentral:rRNA from 1 species